UUGCUAUGAUGAAACUCAGUUUAUUGAUGGUAUUCAUUGAGUGCUUGAUGAUACUUCGGCAUUCAUGUCGAACCUGAGCGGUUACCUGAGCAA
rfam:Medicago truncatula strain A17 chromosome 5, whole genome shotgun sequence.